AUUGAACGCUGGCGGCAUGCUUUACACAUGCAAGUCGAACGGUAACAGCACUUCGGUGGCUGACGAGUGGCGAACGGGUGAGUAAUACAUCGGAACGUGCCUAGUAGUGGGGGAUAACUACUCGAAAGAGUAGCUAAUACCGCAUGAGAUCUACGGAUGAAAGCAGGGGACCUUCGGGCCUUGUGCUACUAGAGCGGCUGAUGGCAGAUUAGGUAGUUAGUGGGGUAAAGGCUCACCAAGCCAACGAUCUGUAGCUGGUCUGAGAGGACGACCAGCCACACUGGAACUGAGACACGGUCCAGACUCCUACGGGAGGCAGCAGUGGGGAAUUUUGGACAAUGGGCGCAAGCCUGAUCCAGCAAUGCCGCGUGCAGGAUGAAGGCCUUCGGGUUGUAAACUGCUUUUGUACAGAACGAAAAGUCUUGGGUUAAUACCCUGGGAUCAUGACGGUACUGUAAGAAUAAGCACCGGCUAA
rnacentral:rRNA from 1 species